CCUACGGGUGGCUGCAGUGGGGAAUAUUGCACAAUGGAGGGAACUCUGAUGCAGCGACGCCGCGUGAGUGAAGAAGUAAUUCGUUAUGUAAAGCUCUAUCAGCAGGGAAGAAAGUGACGGUACCUGAAAAAGAAGCUCCGGCUAAAUACGUGCCAGCAGCCGCGGUAAUACGUAUGGAGCAAGCGUUAUCCGGAUUUACUGGGUGUAAAGGGAGAGUAGGUGGCAGAGCAAGUCCGAAGUGAAAACCCAAAGCUCAACUAUGGGAAUGCUUUAGAAACUGCUCAGCUAGAGUGCAGGAGAGGCAAGUGGAAUUCUUAGUGUAGCGGUGAAAUGUGUAGAUAUCACGAAGAACUCCGAUUGCGAAGGCAACAUACCGGCUCCAUACUGACGCUGAGGCACGAAAGCGUGGGGAUCGAACAGGAUUAGAUACCCCUGUAGUC
rnacentral:rRNA from 1 species